AACUGGGAGUAAGGGCUGCAGAGGGCUCACUGGGUAAGAGCACUCUGCUUUUCCAAAAGACCCGGAUUCAAUUCCCAGCGCCCACAUGGCAGUUCACAGCUGUCUGCACCCUCACACAGAUCUGCAUGCAGGCCCAACGCUCAAAUCACCUCUCCUCCUGUAUCUCCUGCUCGUACCCCAGGGAUGCACUCAGCACUCGGGAGGCAGAGGCAAGUGGAUCUCUGUGAGUUCAAGGUCAGCCUGGUCUACAGAGCGAGUUCCAGACUGUGUCUCCCAGGGGCUGGAGAGAGAGCUCAGUGGAUGGCUCUGAGGACCCAGG